GCGUGAGGGACGAAGGUCUGUGGAUUGUAAACCUCUUUUGUCAGGGACGAUAAUGACGGUACCUGACGAAUAAGCAUCGGCUAACUCCGUGCCAGCAGCCGCGGUAAGACGGAGGAUGCAAGCGUUAUCCGGAAUUAUUGGGCGUAAAGCGUACGCAGGUGGCCCAACAAGUCUUUUGUUAAAGCGUGAGGCUCAACCUCAUAAAGGCAAAAGAAACUGUAGAGCUAGAGUAUGGUAGGGGCAGGAGGAAUUCCCSGUGUAGCGGUGAAAUGCGUAGAUAUCGGGAAGAACACCAGCGGCSAAAGCGUCCUGCUAAGCCAAAACUGACACUCAUGUACGAAAGCUAGGGGAGCGAAUGGGAUUAGAUACC
rnacentral:rRNA from 1 species